rnacentral:rRNA from 1 species
GACAGCAGUCGCCACGGUAAAACGUAGGUGGCAAGCGUUGUCCGGAAUUAUUGGGCGUAAAGGGCUCGCAGGCGGUUUUUUAAGUCUGGUGUCUAAGUGCGGGGCUCAACCCCGUGACGCACUGGAAACUGGGAGACUUGAGUGCAGAAGAGGAGAGCGGAAUUCCACGUGUAGCGGUGAAAUGCGUAGAGAUGUGGAGGAACACCAGUGGCGAAGGCGGCUCUCUGGACUGUAACUGACGCUGAGGCGCGAAAGCGUGGGGAGCAAACAGGAUUAGAUACCCCCGUAGUCCCUGUCUCUUAUACA